CAGUCGCCGCGGUAAUACAGAGGGUGCGAGCGUUAAUCGGAUUUACUGGGCGUAAAGCGUGCGUAGGCGGCUUUUUAAGUCGGAUGUGAAAUCCCUGAGCUUAACUUAGGAAUUGCAUUCGAUACUGGGAAGCUAGAGUAUGGGAGAGGAUGGUAGAAUUCCAGGUGUAGCGGUGAAAUGCGUAGAGAUCUGGAGGAAUACCGAUGGCGAAGGCAGCCAUCUGGCCUAAUACUGACGCUGAGGUACGAAAGCAUGGGGAGCAAACAGGAUUAGAGACCCCUGUAGUCCCUGUCUCUUAUCC
rnacentral:rRNA from 1 species